CACAAUGCCUCAUGCAUGAGGCAGUCAGUAAAUAUUUGCUGAAUGAUUUGAGUUCACUUUGACUAUUGCACGUUAGUCAGCAUACAAGUCUGUAGUCAUUUAUUGUUAAAUUUCUUCCUGACAUAUAUUUGGUGUAGGAGGAAAAGUGUGUGGGUUUCAGAAAAAUACAGAGAAUGGACAAUUAAGUUUUCCUAGGGUGUGCCGCAUCCUGUUGUCCUAAAAAUGUUUCAGAAAAGCAGAUUGCUGCAAGUACAGUUAGCAAAAAGCAAAAUAGAGGAAUGCUUAAAGAAUAGCAAAAAGGUAAUGCUUGUGUUUGAACUUUAAAUUAGAAGAAAAAUUAUUCUUGUGAUUUUAACUUA
rnacentral:lncRNA from 1 species